AAUAGAUACCCUGGUAGUCCACGCCGUAAACGAUGAGUGCUAAGUGUUAGAGGGUUUCCGCCCUUUAGUGCUGCAGCAAACGCAUUAAGCACUCCGCCUGGGGAGUACGGUCGCAAGACUGAAACUCAAAGGAAUUGACGGGGGCCCGCACAAGCGGUGGAGCAUGUGGUUUAAUUCGAAGCAACGCGAAGAACCUUACCAGGUCUUGACAUCCUCUGACAACCCUAGAGAUAGGGCUUCCCCCUUCGGGGGCAGAGUGACAGGUGGUGCAUGGUUGUCGUCAGCUCGUGUCGUGAGAUGUUGGGUUAAGUCCCGCAACGAGCGCAACCCUUGAUCUUAGUUGCCAGCAUUCAGUUGGGCACUCUAAGGUGACUGCCGGUGACAAACCGGAGGAAGGUGGGGAUGACGUCAAAUCAUCAUGCCCCUUAUGACCUGGGCUACACACGUGCUACAAUGGGCAGAACAAAGGGCAGCGAAGCCGCGAGGCUAAGCCAAUCCCACAAAUCUGUUCUCAGUUCGGAUCGC
rnacentral:rRNA from 1 species